UACGUAGGGACCAAGCGUUGUUCGGAUUUACUGGGCGUAAAGGGCGCGUAGGCGGCGUGUUAAGUCAGCUGUGAAAUCUCCAAGCUUAACUUGGAACGGUCAGCUGAUACUGAUGUGCUAGAGUGCAGAAGGGGCAAUCGGAAUUCUUGGUGUAGCGGUGAAAUGCGUAGAUAUCGGGAGGAACACCAGUGGCGAAGGCGACUACCUGGCCUGUUCUUGACGCUGAGGCGCGAAAGCUAGGGGAGCAAACGGG
rnacentral:rRNA from 1 species